UUUUUUAUGUAAAUAGAUUGGUUUGAAAAAAUACAGAAGAAACUUAGGGGUUGCCUUUGGGCACAGGCCUACAGGAAUGAGGUCUGGGAUAGGAGAGAGACCUCCUCUUUAUUGUAUACUGCUUAAAUUUUAAAAUCAUGUACAUAUAUUAUUUUCACAAUUAAAAUCCUUUUAAUAUGUAUAAAUCAACACUAAUGAAAAUUUUCACUGAACCCACUCUGUGAUGUGAUUUGACUAAGUAAAAGUUUCUAGGCUUAUUCAUAAAUGAGCAUAUGGUAUUAAAUUUGAUAUUGAAUUCACAAAGGCUUUUCUUAUCAAACAUAUUCUUUCAUUAAAAUAAUAAAUUACAACU
rnacentral:lncRNA from 1 species